rnacentral:rRNA from 1 species
UGGCUCAGAUUGAACGCUGGCGGCAUGCCUUACACAUGCAAGUCGAACGGCAGCACGGGGGCAACCCUGGUGGCGAGUGGCGAACGGGUGAGUAAUACAUCGGAACGUGUCCUGUAGUGGGGGAUAGCCCGGCGAAAGCCGGAUUAAUACCGCAUACGAUCUGCGGAUGAAAGCGGGGGAUCCUUCGGGACCUCGCGCUGCAGGGGCGGCCGAUGGCAGAUUAGCUAGUUGGUGGGGUAAAGGCCUACCAAGGCGACGAUCUGUAGCUGGUCUGAGAGGACGACCAGCCACACUGGGACUGAGACACGGCCCAGACUCCUACGGGAGGCAGCAGUGGGGAAUUUUGGACAAUGGGCGCAAGCCUGAUCCGAGCAAUGCCGCGUGUGUGAAGAAGGCCUUCGGGUUGUAAAGCACUUUUGUCCGGAAAGAAAACCUCUUGGUUAAUACCUGAGGGGGAUGACGGUACCGGAAGAAUAAGCACCGGCUAACUACGUGCCAGCAGCCGCGGUAAUACGUAGGGUGCAAGCGUUAAUCGGAAUUACUGGGCGUAAAGCGUGCGCAGGCGGUUCGCUAAGACAGAUGUGAAAUCCCCGGGCUUAACCUGGGAACUGCAUUUGUGACUGGCGGGCUAGAGUAUGGCAGA